rnacentral:rRNA from 1 species
GACGGAAGGUGCAAGCGUUGCUCGGAAUCACUGGGCGUAAAGGGUGCGUAGGCGGCCGUGCAAGUCUGGCGUGAAAGCCCCGGGCUCAGCCCGGGAAGUGCGCUCGAAACUGCGCGGCUCGAGCUGCCGGAGGGGAGAGUGGAAUUCCUGGUGUAGCGGUGAAAUGCGUAGAUAUCAGGAGGAAUACCGGUGGCGAAAGCGACUCUCGUGGACGGCACUGACGCUGAGCACGAAAGCGUGGGGAGCAA